rnacentral:lncRNA from 1 species
GGGAGGCAACAGGGCCAAGGUUAGCAGGAGAGGCAAGGACAGAAGUGAGAGAUAACAUAGUAUUAUGAAAAUAGGGAGCCACAAGACAAGACCUGCAGUCAGCUUGUAGAAGCUGAAAAAAGUCAAGAAAGGGAAUGGUCCCAGAAUGUCCUGAGGGAAACAGCUUUGCUGAUACAUUGACCUCAUCACAGUGAGCCUGGAGUUGGAUGCCAGAUCUACAGGACUGAGGAAUAAAAGGCAAGCGGGUCCUGGCCCUUGCACUGCAGUUGAGGGAAUCUGAGGGCAGCAUGCAGGCACCAGCACCGAGGGAAGCUUUGGGCCUAGGCCGCAGUGAUUUUGAACUGGAAAUGGCUACAGCACAGCCUGUGUAGACGAGACAGCUUACUGAAAAGCUGAAUGAAAAUUGUGAACAAGCCGAUCUGUUUGUGAUCUUUCAACAUGGCUGCACAGCAACUCUGCAAAUGCUAGAAGAAAAAAACAAAAAGUAAAAGAACUGUAUGUUUGUCAUCAAUUUAAUGUAAAAAUUUAAAACAUAUUUCAGAAUCUUCCCAAGAAGUGCUAAUGUCACCAUGUCAAAUUGUAGUUAUUUAACCUAAAGGAUUUUUUAUUAUUAUAAAAAAUUAGACAUCCAGAUGAAGGUAGAAUGAAUAUUAUAAAUUUAACAGAUCAUAUUGCAUGAAUGAAAUGCACUCUAAUUUGUGAAGUGCUGUUAUACCUAUUAUAUCACUCAAUCCUGGUAGUAAUCCUAAUGAAAUAUGAGUUCAAACAGGUGUUGAUAUCUCAUAAAUGCUGCAGUAAUGAAGACAGAGGCUCAGAUGGGUUAAAUUAUUACGGAGUCACCCGAGCCCCUGGACCUAUGUAAUAACCCAGUGCCGUUUCCCUUCAGUAUUUACAAGAACUCCUACCUUUCCAAAUGCACAUCAUUUAGCUCUAGUACAGGCACCACGAGCAGAGGGUAUAAUUUCCAUUUCUGUCUUCUGCAGUCAAGCAGAAGUUCCUCUCCUUUGUGUACCGAUAGGAGUGCCGUGGAUCACUGGGCCUUGGAGAAGGGAGGCCUUAAGUGUGCUCCAUUUGCACGAUUGUCCUGCAGCACUUGUGGAUGACUGCACAGCCUUCUAAAGUAUGGGAAGCUAAGACCUCUGGCCAGGGAACUGUCUGAAAAUCUCCUUCAAAAACAAUGCUUGAGGGCCGGGGAUUUAGCUCAGUGGCACAGAGCCUGCCUCACAAGUGCAAGGUCCUAAGUUUGAUCUACAGUACAAAAAAAAAAAAAAAAAAAAAAAGUGCCUGAUCUGGAAGACACAGUCCUCCUGGGUAGGGAUUUGGCAUUGGAUGGUUGUUGGGCAAGACAGUCAGGACCAUGGUCAGCGUAUUGGACCCCAAAGAGAUAGGGCUAGUGUUCAAGGUGAGAAAGUCUUCACGCUUGAAAGAAAGACAGCCAUUUUCACAUUUGGGAUAAUAAAAGAAAUAAGUAGAAUUUUAAAGGUUAUGUAAGUGAAAAAGUUAACGUAUUAAAAUAGUAUAAGGAAUAAAGAACUAAAAAAAUUAAAACCAAAAAUAGCUGAAAUACAAAUGAUAUAAAGAAUAUUCAUAUUCACAUAAACCAAAUGUUGUUAUUGAUUUGGAUAUUUUCUUUUUUGGUACUGGGGAUCGAGCUCGAGUCCUUGCACUUGCGCAGCAGGCGGUGAAACCACUGAGCUAAAUCCCCAGCCUCGAUAUUUUCAUUUUUUGAAAAGCUAAUUUCUGUUGUUUCACAUUAGCAAAUAAAAGCUGCCAGGUAAUCGACCUCCUCAAUAUUAAGGUUGGUAUCUGUAAUUGCAACAAUAAUAACAAUAAAUUCUACAAAUCUUUAUAAUGGUAUUAUUCUUUGAUAAACCCAUUGUAAAUUGAAAAUAUUAUAUGUAAAUUAUCAUUUAAAAUAGCUUACCAGGGCUGGAGACAAUUCAUUGGUCCCCUGCCAUGCAGAAGGCCCUGAGUUCCCAGCCAAGUACAGCCAAAAAAAGGGAAAAUCAGGUCUGAGCAGGUGACACAGCUCAGCACAGCAAAAGAGGCUGGGAAGCCUGAGUCGCUUGUCAUACUGUGCUUGUGUUAGCCCAAGGAACAUUCAAAAUUCAAAAUCUGAGCCAGAUGCGGUGGAGCACGUCUGUAAUCUCAUCGCUCGAGAAGCUAAGGCGGGAGGAUUGCAGUGAGUUUCAGUCCAGCCUGUGCUACAUGAUGAGUUCAAGGCCAGCCCAAGCGACAUAGCAUGAUCCUGUUUCAGACAAAAUUCAAAAUUGGAAGUAAAGUUGCUACGAAAUAUGGAACGCCUUUACACCAUUGUAAGCUGAAGCAUGGAUCCAACUCGGGACCCUGCACCCGUGAGGCAGGUGCCGGAACCACCAAGCCAAAUCCC